rnacentral:lncRNA from 1 species
AUGGGAGCCAGAGCAAGCGUCAGAGUGUGUGAUACGUGGGGAGCACAGCCGCAGUCCCGUGGGUUCGUGCUUUUGUUUAGAGCUUUUCUUUUCUGGAGAUUCAUUGUGCUCAUAAAAAGUACUGGGGGGCCGUGCUCUGUGUGCCGCCCUCCACGGCCCGGCCCGUGCUCUGUGUGCCGCCCUCCACGGCCGUGCUCUGUGUGCCCUCCACGGCCCGUGCUCUGUGUGCCCCCCACGGACCGUGCUCUGUGUGCCAACCUCAACGACCCGUGCUCAGUGUGCCCCCCAAAAAACAUGGCUCUGUUGUGUCACCCUCACAUACCGAGUUCUGUGGUAAUCUCAU